UCGACCGGGGCAGUGAGUCACCUCCUCCGGGAGCGGGAGCGGGCAGUGUCACCUGUCCUGGACUGGGACUGGGUGAUGAGUCGGGACGGGCCUGAGGAAAGCUGCUGUAUUUAGAAAGCUGAACUUGGCAAACAAGGCCCCCGGCCUUCAACAGUGAAAAUCCAUCACAUUAGCCUGAAAACUACAGAUGUGGCCAUGAAGGGCUUCUACCCAGUUCACACACUCCAGCCUGCAUCCCAAAAGGAGAAAUGGAGGUCUUCUUGAGCACCAUCAAGCCAAGGUGACAGAUACAAUCUUCUGGCAAGGCACAAGGUAAUGAGGAGUAAGGAAAAUGAACUUCAUCAAGGUCCUGACGAAAUGUAUACAGCGCAGUCUUGCCAUAACCAACACCCUCAGAGAAAAUCACUAAGCCUAAUGGCAGCAUCCCAGCUGGCAUUCUCACCUGUCAGGAUAUGUUAUCAAAAACUGCAAGAUGUCUGCGUUAUGAAUACAUUAUAGGUACCAGUGAUAAUGGGGAGUGAUCACUGCCUAAUCCAGUGUCCCCAUCUCAAGGACACCAAAGGGUAAUUCCGUUAAGAUCCCUUAUUACAACCUGAUGAUCUUGAACCAAACUGAAGGCAUAAAGUGACCACCUGGCACAGAUUGCCCUUAAGUUCAGCAUAGUUAGCAACUAUGUAAAAACUCAUAUUUCCAGAAAUGCCAUAACUGGCUUAUUAAGACUGUUCAGGCCAUCCACAACUUGUUAAACAACAAGUAAACAAGGUAGAGUUAAGUAAAAGAUCAACAGUAAAGGAGUAGCUCAUAGUAUUUGAAGGACAAGGUGAAAAAGAAAGCUCAUGACCUAAAGAACAGAUGGUGGGUGAAAACAGCAGAGGAGAUCCAGCAGCUCGAUGAUAACCAUGACGUACAGAUUCGUCAGCACUGUGAAAAACAAAUAUCCAGCAGUACAUCCUACUGAGUGCCAGAAUUCAAAUGAACUUAUCAAGGUUUGGGAGGCACACUGGAAGGAAUUAUUUAAAGAACAACUUAACUAUGACUUUGUGCUGAAUGUGAAUAUUAUUGACUCAGUUCCAUAGCAAAUUUUCUGGCUGAGUCUGACCAGCAUCCCUGACAGGUAAGAACCCUAAGAAGUCACACUCCGACUGAAAAUAAAAAGAAGCAGGAGGCAUCACUGCUGAAGUUCUACAAUUUGUUCGAAAGGAACUUACGAAAUUCACAUAGUCACAACCUCAUUUCCCACACCUAGGAUAUGGUUGGGGAUGGCAUGGUGAGUUGGGGGGGGGGCACGGAUGUUCAAGAAGAUCUGAGAGACUCAGUAAUUAUAAUCAUAUUGAAAAGUAAAUAUAAGUCCAUUUGGGGUAACUACUUCUGUCAGCUAUGUGAAAAGUUAUUAUCAUGGCUCUCCAACACUCCUCUUCCCUGACCAAACAGUUGGUUUUGGAAUUAGAAACCAUAGAAAAACUACAGCACAGAAACAGGCCUUUUGGCCCUCCUUGGCUGUGCCGAACCAUUUUCUGCCUAGUCCCACUGACCUGCACACGGACCAUAUCCCUCCAUACACCUCCCAUCCAUGUAUCUGUCC